ACACGACUACAUUAGAUACCCGCGUAGUCCCAGCCCUAAACGAUGCGCGUUAGGUGUAUCGGUGACCACGAGUCACCGAGGUGCCGAAGGGAAACCGUGAAACGUGCCGCCUGGGAAGUACGGUCGCAAGGCUGAAACUUAAAGGAAUUGGCGGGGGAGCACAACAACGGGUGGAGCUUGCGGUUUAAUUGGAUUCAACGCCGGAAAUCUUACCGGGACCGACAGCAACAUGAAGGCCAAGCUGAAGACUUUGCCGGAUUAGCUG
rnacentral:rRNA from 1 species